AACAAAUCACCGACCCAUUGCCUACGAGUUUGUCCUACUACUACUGUUACUUGUCUUGCUCUGCUGCUACUACUGUUGCUACUACUGUCACUUGUCUUGCUCUGCUGCUGCCACUACUUGUGAGAACCUGGAAUUUACUUCCAGACCCUCCUGUGUAUAUUUGUCAACCCCAGGAUCAUUGCUGAUAACACAACAAAAUGGUAUCAUUGCACGAUACGUAAAAUUAUUUUAUUACAUAUUGCCCCAAGGCAUACAUUGACAAAUGUCUCAUGACAUUUAUUACAAUCAGAAAACAACGGAAAAUACAAUGCGUAGCGAUUCCAUCUCAGCCACAGGCAGUCGAUGUAGUCCACGUGACCUCACUCCUACGGAUCGCCAUAGUAGUCGUAGUCAUCACCUUCAUCUUCAUGUAACUCUGUUGUCAACAAAAGUAUUGCCAUGAGUACGUUACGUACUCAACAUACCUCCUUCGGAGAAGGUCCUAACAGCUACAUGUGGCUUCAAAGGAAGGUUGUAUGGCUCAUUUGCAUAAAAGCUAAUUUUAUUUGAAAACCAUAGCAUUUGGAUAAAAGCAGUUUUUUGAUGAAAACAUGUUUAUAUCCAGAGUAACUUUCAUCAAAGUGAGGAUCCUCGAUCAACUCACACUCAUCAUAGGUUCCAACAAUUGGGGCAAAGAGGGAAUAAGCAAGACAGGUCCCGUAUGUCAAGAAAGAUUCAUGUGUCAAUGACUAAAAGGUCAAUCAACAAGCACCUAUAGGGUAAUAAGCAUGGCUAAGCAUUUCUACUCUACCGGAUACUGUAUACUUCUACUCGGGUGUCAAAUGGAUAGGCGACAAGUGGAUCAAGGUAAUGUGUCAAUCGACACGCUACCUACAAGAUUAAAAACAUGCAUAUUGUAACCAUAAAACUCAAUGCGGUUUAUAAAACAUAAGAUAAGUAUGAUCAAAGAAGGAGGCAUGCCUUCGUUGUUGAGUCCUUCUUCGUUAACCUGUGUAUCUCCAUGCAUGUCCAACAUCGUCACUCCCUACUCGUCGUAACGAUAGCAAAUAAAAAACACAUGAAUACCAAAGAAACAGUAAAUCCAAAUAACAUCCAAAACAAAUUAAGAGUGGAUGAAUAGCAAGAUAUUGAUCGGAUGGAGAUUCCAAAAUGAAGUAUCAUGAUAGGGAAGGUGAGAUAUAGGAUUCAACGAAGUGAUACAGUUAGGUUGACACUGCUAAUUAAGGAAGGCUUAACGAUCAAGACUAACGUUGUGAUACAGAUUAAAAUAAAAUAGGAUCCACUCCCUUAUGACAAACCAAUACUAUGGUACAAAGUAAUUAAUUAACUUAAUAAUGAGACACAUCUCAUGCAAUGCAUGCGUGUAUAGGAUCAUAAAGAUGUGCUAACUAAUAACACAAGCAUCAAACAUACAAGUGAUCAUGAGAAUAAUUAAACUAGGAGAUGUUCUUUAUAACAUGAAAUAACAAAUAUCCGAUUAACUACUGACAACAAGAUUAUACCCACAUGCUUGUAAUAGCAUGGCAAACUAAGCACACUAAGCAUAUGAGAAAGGCACAAGUCAACUAACGAAAGGUAAACUAUCCAAUCAUGUGAUGAACUAAUGAAACAAGUAUUAAACACUCAUAAUACUAAAAUGAUACAAAGCCAAACAUCUAUACAGAGGAACUAAGUAGGCACACAAAACAUCAUGAGGCAUGAAAGAUGACUAAGCAUAGAAUAACUCAAUAGCAAGGUAAACAAAUAUAACAUCUAAACAUGGAUGAUCAUCACAUGAGAUACCACACUAAGCUACCAAUAGAAUACAACUCGUAACUAUGAGAUAACUUAGUUGAUAUCAACUAUCAUGAAGAUCAAGCAUGGCACUAGCAUGCAAUCUCACAUUCUAGUCAUGACAUGUAAGAACACGAAAUCAUGGAAUAAGCACACAACCCUAUCAUGUUAGUUAAUACAGGUAAGCACGUUCAUAAAUAGUAAUGACCAUGUAGGCAAGUAAACAACUAGAUCAUAUAAUCAACUAAUCAACAUGUACUAUACAACACUAAUAAAUGAUGGCAUGCAUUUCUAAAUACUACAACCUCAUUUGCAAAUACAUAGAAGCACAACCAAGACAUCGUACAACACACGGGUUGGUACACACAUGACAUGUAAGUCAACUAAGCAUGCAUAGCUACCAUCCUAGGUAAACAAGACAACUAAGAUAAAUAACAAGAAGUAAUAAAGUAGGUUAUAUGCUACAACCUAAAUCAUAUGUAACAAUACAUAUCUGAAACGUGACAUGAAACAAGCAACCAUGAAUAAUGGAUAGCAAACAUCUAUAAAACUACAUGAUCAAAUAGAAGAUAAUAUCUAUGCAACGAACUAUAAUGUAGUCACCUUCAAUAAAAAAGCAUCUCAUUUGAUAUCUAUCAUAAUUAACAUAUGCAAAACACAUGAAAUAAUACAACUAACCUAUACUAGACAUGCAUGACUAAAUGUUAGCCGACCAAGAUAAAUAUUUAGAUAACUCUAAAUAUUUGUAAAGAUUAAAUGAUAAUUAACUAUACGCAACAACCAAUGAUUAACCUUGACUUCGUUUAGCUUAUAGCAACUCCAAAACAAUAUCAACUUACUCAAAAAUCUAAUGUAACAUAACAUGCUCAUGAUAACUAUUAAAUGAAAAUUAAAUAUAUAACACAUAUGAUUAGAUAAACGCUAACCUACAACGUGCCAUGACUUCACACAUAAACAAUCACAUAAGCAACAUGAUUGAGAAAGAAUAUAUGGAACAAUCUAAUAUAUUUUCCAUGUUAAACAAAAAUAAAUUAAACAAACCCCCCUAGAAAGUUGAUUGUUGGAGGGCACUCGUGAAUUUGGCUAGCCAUGGUUUGUGUAUGUAUGGUGGAGGGGGGUAAACUUUAUAUUUCCGCUUGGNCAUAUAUCCUAUGACUACUUACCGCAUCAAAGAAAAAUAACACGUGAAAUAACAUGUUCAACAAAUAAUUCAACUGUAAAAAAUAUAGGGCUAUAACACGCAGUUCAUCACACGCAUGACUGUGUUCUAAAGUAGCAUACUAAUCAUGAGCAUAAUUAUAAAGACCUAAACCAAAAAUAGACUGUUACACAAUCAUCAUAGACAUGACAUGACUUCAAAACAACAAAUACAGAUGCAACAAGGANAAUAUAAAAUAUACCUAAGAUAUAUUCAUGCUAGAAAAAAGCUAAAUUAUAUAAAACAUUAAGUAUUCCAUAAUUAAAAAAUAAGAAACACUUAGAAUAUUCUACAUAUCAGCAUGUCAAUCGUUCACCAAAUAUUGUACGCAAGCAUAAAAGAAAACUAUACAUGGUACCACAAAUCAUUGAGCCUAAACAAUAUGUUUAACUAUUUAACAAUUUAACCGGGAGUAAAAUAAGUCUAGAGAAUCAUAUAUUACUUCUACAACGAGAGAUAAAUAAAAAAUAUUUUCAUACAUAACAGGAACGUAAUAAAAGUAAAAAUAAUACCAAAUUCACUACAACCAUACGCGAACUACUCAAACUCAAAACAACGGUGGGUUCCUAGGGUCAUAUAGAACAUUUCAUCUAUCAUAACCGAUGAACAAAAACUAUGAAAACAUGCCGAUGCCAUCAGAUGACAUUCGUUCAUGCGUCGACGCGAACAACGACAUAGAUAGGUCGAAUGAUGGUGUCUAUUGGACACACUAGAUGAUGAGGAGUACGCGUGUAAAUGGAAUUUGAUAGAGGCUCACCGAGCUUGACAGGACAGGGUGAUGAACUUGACAAACAGUGUACACGGACAUGCGGAAUUCUUCGCGUGUGGUUGACGAAUCACCUUCUUUCUUCUGUGAAUGGAUUCACGACAUGGAGGAGGAGAUCCUGGCCCAAGGAAUAGGAUGGAGGUGGUCCAAGUCAUCGGAAUCGCAACCUCGCGUCCAUGGAGCUUCAUAGUUCACGGAGGGCUCUUGUAGAGAGGAGGAAGGGAAUAGGCAUGAGAACCGCUGGGAAUGAGAGAGGAGAUCGUGGUGCACGUCUAGAUAUCUUCAAAACUGGAAACGAUUGAGAUUUAUGGAAAUUGAAGGAGGAGAUGUUUCAUGGCUGUACGUUUCUUUGAAAGAAGCUGAAAGUUUGUUUUCUCUGUAGGUGCGUGCGUGUACGCGUGGGUGGAGAAGGAAGAGGGAGCGUUUGGGUUGGAGCUGAGAAAUCACGCAAGUGGAGAGAGGGAAUUAAAGUGUACCAUUGGUGGUGGAGUGGUGGCUGUUUCCUCUUCUUCUCUAAGUUACUCUCUCAUGGUUUCUCUCAUGGACGAACGUAUGUGAGGAACAAGGAAUUCAGCCACAACGUGAGAGAAAUGAGCUAAGGGUCAAGCUGAGCAAGGAAUUAGAAAACAAAAAUUGGGAUAAGCCCAUUUGGUUGAAGGAAA
rnacentral:lncRNA from 1 species